rnacentral:lncRNA from 1 species
CUUUUAUAUCUUAACAUAUUAUUUCGACUUUAUUUAUUUAUUUAUUAAAGAUUUUAUUUUUCCUUUUUCUCCCAAAGUCCCCCAGUACAGAGUUGUGUAUUUUUAGUUGUGGCAUGUGGGAUGCCACCUCAGCAUGGCCUGACGAGCGGUGCCAUGUUUGCACCCAGGAUUCGAACCGGCAAAACCCUGGGGCGCUGAAGCAGAGCGCCAGAACUUAACCACUCGGCCUCGGGGCCGGCCUCUUGACUUUUAAAAGACUCAGAUUUGGCUACUGUUUUCAUGUAAGGCCAUGUCUCUUUGGUGUUUAGGGUAUCUUUCAUGAUGCAGAAUCCUCGUAAACUUCUAGCACCUUCCCCCAGAUCUUUUCUAUCUGCCACAGGAGCUCAUUUCUUCAAAAGGAAUUUGUGUUUGUCUACUCUUUCCAAACCUACUUUUGAUAGAAAUAACUCUUUUUUUCACACUUAUUUCAUAAUAGAUUUACAUAGUUGUUAACUAAAUUACAUACUUUAAAUAGUUAAGAUUUAUAUAAACAGAUCUGGGAAGAAAGAAUUGAUUCUUGGUAAACACAUGAGGGAGCAGAACGGUGCUCGUGAACUAGGUGAUUGUUUUUCAAUUGUAAUCCCUAGAAAGAAAUGUAUUUUACGUUGCGGCAUGGUGUAUAUAUAUAUCAUGGUAUAUAUAUAUAUAUUUCAUAUAUCUGAAAUAUAUCGUGGAGCAAUGCUCUUACCAAAUGCACUGCACUGUGAUAUUUCCUAUUCUAUUUCUUAAAAAAAAGGUGGGUGGUAACCCAGUAGUUUAUCUCGUAACGCAGGUCAUGGCCUGCAGCUGGGAGCCUCCAUCCUGGAGCAAGACUGACCAGCUCAGACCCCAGCGGCCAGGCCAUCGGCAGGUCGGCCCUCUGACCCUGAUGACAGCUGUCACCCCCAGCACUGGCUGAGUCUGCAGGAGGAUGAGACAGACGUUUGAGAGCCCCUGCCCCAUCACAUGCUCUGGGGCCUGGCUUCAGGGGCACGGUCAUUUCAAGGGCCUUCAGGGCCCUUGGUGUUGUCUCGCUGCCUUCGAGCCAUUCUCCACUCUGACAGAGCUCAGUGAGGCUGGCCUUGAGUCCACUUCCACCACGACCGCUGGGACCUUGGGACAGUGAUUUAUGUCGUGCUCCGUUUCCUCAUCUGUAGAAGGGGUGUAAUUAUAGCACCUACUUCCUCUGGCACGGCCUGUUUUCAGUCAUUGUUUCUCUGUGUAAAGUACACUGGGUAUUUGACAACCUAGUUUCUCCCUUUCCAUAUAGGACAAAUGUUUUUCUUUCCUCCUCUAAGGUUUUUAACUGGAGUUAUUAAGCAGUCUUGACUCUCAGCGGAGAAGUCUUCACGUAUAGGCAAAGCCUGUCUGAAC